UACAGAGGGUGCAAGCGUUAAUCGGAAUUACUGGGCGUAAAGGGCUCGUAGGUGGUUAGAUAAGUCAGAUGUGAAAUCCCUGGGCUCAACCUAGGAAUUGCAUUUGAUACUGUUUAGCUAGAGUAUGGUAGAGGGAAGUGGAAUUUCUGGUGUAGCGGUGAAAUGCGUAGAUAUCAGAAGGAACAUCAGUGGCGAAGGCGACUUCCUGGACUAAUACUGACACUGAGGAGCGAAAGCGUGGGGAUCAAACAGG
rnacentral:rRNA from 1 species